GCACUCUUGGUCCAACGGUAGGAUAAUUGCCUUCCAAGCAAUUGGCCCGGGUUCGACUCCCGGAGGGUGCA